GAUGAACGCUGGCGGCGUGCCUAAUACAUGCAAGUCGAGCGAACGGACGAGAAGCUUGCUUCUCUGAUGUUAGCGGCGGACGGGUGAGUCACACGUGGAUAACCUACCUAUAAGACUGGGAUAACUUCGGGAAACCGGAGCUAAUACCGGAUAAUAUUUUGAACCGCAUGGUUCAAAAGUGAAAGACGGUCUUGCUGUCACUUAUAGAUGGAUCCGCGCUGCAUUAGCUAGUUGGUAAGGUAACGGCUUACCAAGGCAACGAUGCAUAGCCGACCUGAGAGGGUGAUCGGCCACACUGGAACUGAGACACGGUCCAGACUCCUACGGGAGGCAGCAGUAGGGAAUCUGCCGCAAUGGGCGAAAGCCUGACGGAGCAACGCCGCGUGAGUGAUGAAGGUCUUCGGAUCGUAAAACUCUGUUAUUAGGGAAGAACAUAUGUGUAAGUAACUGUGCACAGCUUGACGGUACCUAAUCAGAAAGCCACGGCUAACUACGUG
rnacentral:rRNA from 1 species